rnacentral:rRNA from 1 species
UACCAGCUCCUCGAGUGGUCGGGACGAUUAUUGGGCCUAAAGCACCCGUAGCCGGUUUCGUAAGUCCUCUGUUAAAUUCAGUCGCUCAACGACUGACCUGCAGAGGAUACUGCGGGACUAGGAGGCGGGAGAGGCGGACGGUACUCCGCGUGUAGGGGUAAAAUCCUUUGAUCCGCGGAAGACCACCAGUGGCGAAGGCGGUCCGCCAGAACGCGCUCGACGGUGAGGGGUGAAAGCUGGGGGAGCGAACCGG